rnacentral:ncRNA from 1 species
GGUAGACGCUACGGACUUAAAAAUAAUUUGAGCUUUAAUAAAAAAACUUAUUAAAUGCUAGCUUUCAGAUUCAGGGAAACUUAGGUUGAAAAAAGUAUAAGCAAUCCUGAGCCAAAUCUUUUAUAUUUUUAAUAAGAUAGGUGCAGAGACUCAAUGGAAGCUAUCCUAACGCAUAAUUUUUUAAAAUUUAUACAAUAUUUAAUUAAAUUAAAAAGCGAGGGUAAAGAGAGAGUCCAAUUUUACAUGUUAAAUUUAGCAACAAUUUAAAUUGUAGUAAAAAGAAAAUCCGUUGGCUUAAUUGACCGUGAGGGUUCAAGUCCCUCUUCCCCCAAAAGUAUUUAAUAAAAAAAAAAUUAAUGUACUUUUAAAAAUUAUUUUUUUUAUUGACACAAACUUUUAAUUUAUGUUAGUAUGUCCACGUAAAACAAGCCGGGAUAGCUCAGUUGGUAGAGCAGAGGACUGAAAAUCCUCGUGUCAC